rnacentral:tRNA from 1 species
ACGGAUAUGCUGGAAUUGGUAGACAGGUUCUGUUUAGGUCAGAAUAGUGAAAACUGUGUAGGUUCAAGUCUUACUAUCCGUA